rnacentral:tRNA from 1 species
UUAGUUGAAGCCAAAAUAGAGGCAUAUCACUGUUAAUGAUAACAUUGAACAUUAUAUUCCAACUAAA